CCUACGGGGGGCGGCAGUGAGGAAUCUUGCGCAAUGGGGGAAACCCUGACGCAGCAACGCCGCGUGAGUGAAGAAGGCCUUCGGGUCGUAAAGCUCUGUCAGAUGGGAAGAAAUGGAUGGGGGCUAAUAUCGUCCAUCCUUGACGGUACCAUCAGAGGAAGCACCGGCUAACUCCGUGCCAGCAGCCCCGGUC
rnacentral:rRNA from 1 species